rnacentral:rRNA from 1 species
ACCUGUUCCCAUGCCGAACACAGAAGUUAAGCUUCAGCACGCCGAUAGUAGUUGGGGGAUCGCCCCCUGCGAGGAUAGGACGUUGCCACGC